GGUACUUUUCGGACGUACACCAACAUUGUUAGUAAAUUGGACGCUUUUAAAUGGGAAUAAAUUUCAAAUAUACCAAUAUAUACUUCAAAUAAUUAUACAUAUUUAGGUAGAUACUGACUUUUAUCUCUCUGUACUGAUUUUCUUUUCCGCCAACUAAAUUUCGAUUUUCGCGUUUCCCGUUAGGCCCCCUUUGUAAACAAACCGCCUUGAUGCAUCAAUGUCAUAUUUUAUUAUCUGUGAAAACUUGUCAAAAAACAGUUUAAGGCACGGUAUGUAUAAGUUACUCUAUAGAUUAGGAAAGGUACUAGUGCUGCACUCUGGCCGCAGACCAUUGCAGUAAUACUCCCUAUUGAUGAACUUCGAUUGUUGCGAUUUUAGCCUUGACGUGUGUUGUGAGUGUUAGAAUGUUGUUUUUGCUCCGUGGAGAUUUCUGCCUUGUUGAGUUUUUGUUUUUUGUUAACAUUUGUUCCAGUGAGACUUAAAGGAGUAAUCUGGUCUAGGAAUACUCUUUUGUAGAACAACGCAACCUUAUUGUGUUUAGGUUCGUUAGAAUUGUCU